rnacentral:rRNA from 1 species
GAUGAACGCUGGCGGCGUGCCUAAUACAUGCCAGUCGAGCGAACGGACGAGAAGCUUGCUUCUCUGAUGUUAGCGGCGGACGGGUGAGUAACACGUGGAUAACCUACCUAUAAGACUGGGAUAACUUCGGGAAACCGGAGCUAAUACCGGAUGAUAUUUUGAACCGCAUGGUUCAAAAGUGAAAGACGGUCUUGCUGUCACUUAUAGAUGGAUCCGCGCUGCAUUAGCUAGUUGGUAAGGUAACGGCUUACCAAGGCAACGAUGCAUAGCCGACCUGAGAGGGUGAUCGGACACACUGGAACUGAGACACGGUCCAGACUCCUACGGGAGGCAGCAGUAGGGAAUCUUCCGCAAUGGGCGAAAGCCUGACGGAGCAACGCCGCGUGAGCGAUGAAGGUCUUCGGAUCGUAAAACUCUGUUAUUAGGGAAGAACAUAUGUGUAAGUAACUGUGCACAUCUUGACGGUACCUAAUCAGAAAGCCACGGCUAACUACGUG